rnacentral:rRNA from 1 species
GUCCACGCCGUAAACGAUGGGCACUAGGUGCUCCGGGGAGCGACCCUUGGAGUACCGGCGCUAACGCAUGAAGUGCCCCGCCUGGGGAGUACGGCCGCAAGGCUGAAACUCAAAGGAAUUGACGGGGCCCGCACAAGCGGUGGAGCAUGUGGUUUAAUUCGACGCAACGCGCAGAACCUUACCUAGGCUUGACAUGCACGGGAAAGCCGCUGGAAACAGUGGCCCCUCUUCGGAGCUCGUGCACAGGUGCUGCAUGGCUGUCGU